GAUGAAGAACGCAGCGAAAUGCGAUAAGUAAUGUGAAUUGCAGAAUUCAGUGAAUCAUCGAAUCUUUGAACGCACCUUGCGCUCCUUGGUAUUCCGAGGAGCAUGCCUGUUUGAGUGUCAUUAAAUUCUCAACCUCACCAGUUUUGUAACGAGACAGGUGAAGGCUUGGAUGUGGGGGUUUUGCAGGCUGCCUCAGUGCUGGUCUGCUCUCCCGAAAUGCAUUAGCGAGCUCAUAUUGAGCUUCCGUCUAUUGGUGUGAUAAUUAUCUACGCCGUGGAUUGGACUCAUGCUUGCUUCUAACCGUCCGCAAGGACAAUUUACUUGACCAAUUUGACCUCAAAUCAGGUAGGACUACCCGCUGAACUUAAGCAUAUCAAUAAGCGGAGGA
rnacentral:misc_RNA from 1 species